rnacentral:rRNA from 1 species
UUGCCUGCACCUGCCGGCGACCGGCGCACGGGUGAGUAACACGUAUGGAACCUGCCCGCCACAGGGGGAUAACCCGGGGAAACCCGGCCUAAUACCCCAUGCCGCCCGGACCGGGCAUCCGGACCGGGCGAAAGGAGGAAUCCGGUGGCGGCUGGGCAUGCGGCGCAUUAGCUUGACGGCGGGGUAACGGCCCACCGUGGCGACGAUGCGUAGGGGUUCUGAGAGGAAGGCCCCCCACACUGGAACUGAGACACGGUCCAGACUCCUACGGGAGGCAGCAGUGAGGAAUAUUGGUCAAUGGGCGGAAGCCUGAACCAGCCAAGUCGCGUGAGGGAAUAAGGCCCUACGGGUCGUAAACCUCUUUUGCCGGGGAGCAAGGGCCGGGACGAGUCCCGGCCCGGAGAGUACCCGGAGAAAAAGCAUCGGCUAACUCCGUGCCAGCAGCCGCGGUAAUACGGAGGAUGCGAGCGUUAUCCGGAUUUAUUGGGUUUAAAGGGUGCGUAGGCGGGCUUUUAAGUCAGCGGUAAAAAUUCGGGGCUCAACCCCGUCCGGCCGUUGAAACUGGGGGCCUUGAGUGGGCGAGAAGAAGGCGGAAUGCGUGGUGUAGCGGUGAAAUGCAUAGAUAUCACGCAGAACCCCGAUUGCGAAGGCAGCCUUCCGGCGCCCUACUG